GAAAGCGUAAUAGCUCACUAGUCGAGUCGGCCUGCGCGGAAGAUGUAACGGGGCUCAAAUAUAGCACCGAAGCUGCGGCAUCAGAAUUUAUUCUGUUGGGUAGGGGAGCGUUGUGUAAGCGGAUGAAGGUGGCUCGAGAGGGUUGCUGGACGUAUCACAAGUGCGAAUGCUGACAUAAGUAACGAUAAAACGAGUGAAAAAACUCGUUCGCCGGAAGACCAAGGGUUCCUGUCCAACGUUAAUCGGGGCCAGGGUGAGUCGGGCCCCCUAAGGCGAGGCUGAAAAAGCGUAGUCGAUGGGAAACGGGUUAAUAUUCCCGUACUUGGGAUAAACUGCGAUGUGGGGACGGAGAAGGGUUAGGUUAGCAGACUGUUGGAUGUCUGUUUAAGGUGGUAGGUGGAAGACUUAGGCAAAUCCGGGUCUUUAUAAACACUGAGAGCUGAUGACGAGGUCUUAAGGGACUGAAGUAAACUGAUACCCUGCUUCCAGGAAAAGCCACUAAGCUUCAGGUUUUAUCUAAACCGUACUGAAAAACCGACACAGGGUGGUCAGGUAGAGAAUAUCAGGCGCUUGAGAGAACUCGGGGUGAAGGAACUAGGCAAAAUAGCACCGUAACUUCGGGAGAAGGUGCGCUUACAGUAAUUGUAGUCCCUUGCGGAUGAAGGUGAAGUAAGUCGAAGAUACCAGCUGGCUGCAACUGUUUAUUAAAAACACAGCACUCUGCAAACACGAAAAGUGGAACGUAUAGGGUGUGAUUGCCUGCCCGGUGCUGGAAGGUUAAUUGAUGGUGUUUAUCGAAAGAGAAGCUCCUUGAUCGAAAGCCCCAGUAAACGGCGGCCGUAACUAUAACGGUCCUAAAGGUAGGCGAAAUUCCUUGUCGGGUAAGUUCCGACCUGCACGAAUGGCCAUAAUGAUGGCCAGGCUGUCUCCACCCCGAGACUCAGUGAAAUUGAAAUCGCCGUGAAGAUGCGGUGUACCCGCGGCUAGACGGAAAGACCCCCUGAACCUUUACUAUAGCUUGACACUGAACAUUGAAUUUUGAUGUGUAGGAUAGGUGGGGAGCCUUUGAAGCAGUGACGCCAGUCAUUGUGGAGGCGACCUUGAAAUACCACCCUUUAACGUUUGAUGUUCUAACGAAGUGCCUGAAACGGGUACUCGGACGAGUGUCUGGUGGGUAGUUUGACUGGGGCGGUCUCCUCCCAAAGCGUAACGGAGGAGCACGAAGGUUUGCUAAUGACGGUCGGACAUCGUCAGGUUAGUGCAAUGGUAUAAGCAAGCUUAACUGCGAGACAGACAAGUCGAGCAGGGUGCGAAAGCAGGUCAUAGUGAUCCGGUGGUUCUGAAUGGGAAGGGCCAUCGCUCAACGGAUAAAAGGUACUCCGGGGAUAACAGGCUGGAUACCGCCCAAGAGUUCAUAUCGACGGCGGUGUUUGGCACCUCGAUGUCGGCUCAUCACAUCCUGGGGCUGAAGGUAGGUCCCAAGGGUAUGGCUGUUCGCCAUUUAAAGUGGUACGCGAGCUGGGUUUAGAACGUCGUGAGACAGUUCGGUCCCCUAUCUGCCGUGGGCGUUGGAUGAUUGAUUGGGGCUGCUCCUAGUACGAGAGGACCGGAGUGGACGCAUCACUGGUGUUCCAGUUGUCUCGCCAGAGGCAUUUGCUGGGUAGCUAAAUGCGGAAGAGAUAAGUGCUGAAAGCAUCUAAGCACGAAACUUGCCAAGAGAUGAGUCAUCCCUGACUUUAAGGUCAGUAAGGGUUGUUGUAGACUACGACGUAGAUAGGUUGGGGUGUGUAAGUGUAGUGAUACAUUGAGCUAACCAAUACUAAAUUGCCCGAGAGGCUUAACUAUACAACGCUCAAG
rnacentral:rRNA from 1 species